AAGGAAGUAACAGAAAAUAGUAAGCACUGCUAAUCCUUACGCACCAUGGUUAAAAUCCGUGGCUUCCUUG
rnacentral:tRNA from 1 species